GUUCAUAUGGAGCAAACUUAUUGAAAGAUAAGGACGCAAAGCCCUGGGUCUAAAGAUUUAUAUCUAUGAUUGCCUGGCUGCAUUC
rnacentral:ncRNA from 1 species